UAGCCAUUAAAGGGGCACAAAUCGACAAAAAACAAUAUCUCGAAGGCAAAUUUGAGAAACCCAAAAGACCAAACAACAAAAAAGGGUUACAGAGGAUGAACAGACCAAGCAGAAAAACAAGACGAAGGAAGAAAGAAAUGGCGAUCUCUCUCUUUGCGUUAAUUUAAUAAAACAAUGACAAAAAUGUUGAAAAUUGGUAUUGGUUUUUUUAUUGGUUCUGUCUCUGUAGAACCUUCUCUGUAUAACUCAGAAACUCUCCCUCUCACAGAAAGCCAAUAUUAG
rnacentral:misc_RNA from 1 species